UACGAAGGGGGCUAGCGUUGUUCGGAAUUACUGGGCGUAAAGGGCGCGUAGGCGGCGUGUCAAGUCAGGCGUGAAAGCCCCGGGCUCAACCUGGGAACCGCGCUUGAGACUGGCAUGCUCGAGUUCGGGAGAGGAUGGUGGAAUUCCCAGUGUAGAGGUGAAAUUCGUAGAUAUUGGGAAGAACACCGAUGGCGAAGGCAGCCAUCUGGACCGACACUGACGCUGAGGCGGACGAAAGCGUGGGGAGCAACAGG
rnacentral:rRNA from 1 species